rnacentral:rRNA from 1 species
CAGAGGGGGCAAGCGUUGUUCGGAAUUACUGGGCGUAAAGGGCGCGUAGGCGGCCUGCUAAGUCGAACGUGAAAUCCCCGGGCUCAACCCGGGAACUGCGUCCGAUACUGGUUGGCUUGAAUCCGGGAGAGGGAUGUGGAAUUCCAGGUGUAGCGGUGAAAUGCGUAGAUAUCUGGAGGAACACCGGUGGCGAAGGCGGCAUCCUGGACCGGCAUUGACGCUGAGGCGCGAAAGCCAGGGGAGCAAACGGGAUUAGAUACCCCGGUAGUCCUGGCCCUAAACGAUGAAUGCUUGGUGUGGCGGGUAUCGAUCCCUGCCGUGCCGAAGCUAACGCAUUAAGCAUUCCGCCUGGGGAGUACGGUCGCAAGGCUG